rnacentral:misc_RNA from 1 species
AAGUCGUAACAAGGUUUCCGUAGGUGAACCUGCGGAAGGAUCAUUACCUUUCUGGCUAUUUAAUAGCUUGUCGGGGGGCUAUAGUCUCUAUAGCCCUGACUGAAUCCGUGUUUAUCGUUUACUACAUGUUCUUCGGGCGUUGCUCGCCGGUUGGACAACCUAAAACUCUUUGCAAUUGCAAUCAGCGUCUGAAUUAUUUAAUAAUUACAA